UACGUAGGGUCCGAGCGUUGUCCGGAAUUAUUGGGCGUAAAGCGCGCGUAGGCGGCUCGGAAAGUCGGUCGUGAAAGGCUGGGGCUCAACCCCAGGACUGCGUCCGAUACUUCCGAGCUGGAGGCAGGUAGGGGAGAUCGGAAUUCCUGGUGUAGCGGUGAAAUGCGCAGAUAUCAGGAGGAACACCGGUGGCGAAGGCGGAUCUCUGGGCCUUGCCUGACGCUGAGGCGCGAAAGCUAGGGGAGCGAACAGG
rnacentral:rRNA from 1 species